GACGAACGCUGGCGGCGUGCCUAAUACAUGCAAGUCGAACGCACAGUUUAUACCGUAGCUUGCUACACCAUAGACUGUGAGUUGCGAACGGGUGAGUAACGCGUAGGUAACCUGCCUGGUAGCGGGGGAUAACUAUUGGAAACGAUAGCUAAUACCGCAUAAUAUUGAUUAUUGCAUGAUAAUUGAUUGAAAGAUGCUAUUGCAUCACUACCAGAUGGACCUGCGUUGUAUUAGCUAGUAGGUGAGGUGACGGCUCACCUAGGCGACGAUACAUAGCCGACCUGAGAGGGUGAUCGGCCACACUGGGACUGAGACACGGCCCAGACUCCUACGGGAGGCAGCAGUAGGGAAUCUUCGGCAAUGGACGAAAGUCUGACCGAGCAACGCCGCGUGAGUGAAGAAGGUUUUCGGAUCGUAAAGCUCUGUUGUAAGAGAAGAACGGGUGUGAGAGUGGAAGGUUCACACUGUGACGGUAUCUUACCAGAAAGGGACGGCUAACUACGUG
rnacentral:rRNA from 1 species